rnacentral:misc_RNA from 1 species
GUGCACAAGCUGUCACCGGCUCGAUCUUGCGUUCGACAGGGUAAAGCAAUGUUUACAACCGAGAGUGGUGAAAUGACAUCGAGUUCCAAUACACGGAGGUCGACAAUAGAUAGGAGAUAGCCCUAGACGGAGAGGUGUUCACCGACAUCGCGCCUGUCAUCUGAUCGAGUCGCACGGGCUUGAACGCUUGUUGGUACCAUCCCGAUAGCUCGUCGACAACGUUUCAACUUCACGAUCAUCCAACGAUUGUGAAAGCGAUAGAAAAUGAACUGGCGGCAGUUAUGGGCGAUCACCGUGGGGCACGACCCAUCGGUCGACUACCUUCAUCCACUGGUUGCAGCGCUCCUUUUCUACAUCAUUGCAUACAGCAUCUGUUUUACAUUCUACACAAUCUCCCACCAACUCUUCCCCAAAUCACUCAAGAUCUACAUCCUCGACUUCUUCAAAACCCUCAUAAUCUGCGCGUAUCCUUACGGCCAUGGACUUGUUCGCAGUUUUGCCGGACAUAUCGGAUAUUGUGCAGUGGCUGUACCCUUAGUGAUGUUGACAAUGCACACAUUCAAAGAAGGAUCACCAUCACCGCUGUCUUUGUUUGAAGAUUUCCUUGCCAAAAAGUUAUCCCUGUUCAAGACUCUUGUGAGAAUCGUUAUCCAGAUAGCAGCAGCAUUUGCAUCAUUCCGGCUUGUCAACUUGAUCUGGUCGUUUGAGUUUCAUCCUGAUCAUGUGAAUAGCAUGAGAGCAGUGGGAUGUGACACAGAUCUGAAGGUUUCAAUAUUCAUGGGCUUCCUCAUCGAGAUGAUGGGAGUGAUGUACGACACAUGGCUCUCCUAUCAACCUCUCUUUAGAUUCUCACUCCUUGAUGAAGCAGUCAAGACACUGAAUGGAACCAUCUUGGUUUGCCUUGGACUCCAUCUGACUGGAAUGUACAUGCAGCCGGCAAUGGCGUCUGGUUUGUCGUUCGGAUGUAAAGGCACAUCUGCCUGGGAACACGUCUUAGUGUACUGGGUCGGGGCAUUCCUUGGUUGCUAUGGUGCUAUCGUCCUCAACAAGUAUGUUCACUUCAGCCUUGUAAAGACAAAAAACAAGUCUGUCACCAACGGAAAUACAAAUGGGGUCAAGAAUGGUUUACAUGGAAAAAAUACCAAACGGAAGAAGAGAGAUUAGAUUUCGUUCUGUUGUCUAAUCAUGGUGCAAUAAGCUUUAGUUGUUGAUGAGGAUGUGUUUGAGUAAGUAAAGUGUCCAACCGAAAUGGUGAUUCUUGCCAAAUGGUGAUUCUUGCUUGUAAAUCGUCACCAGUCAUGACGAGAUUAUGUAUCACUCAUCUAUUGAUAGGGAUGUUAUUGUUCUGGGAGGAUCCUGUAUGUAAACCAUUGUAUAAAGAUUUUGUUGAAGAUGUAGACAUUGCCCACGCACCAUUACAAUUUCAGCUCUACACAUUUCUUGUCAAAUUCAUUGUGAACAUGUAGUGUGCAUUAACAUGUUUAGAAAGAAACCUAGCAGUUUACAUCUUCCUGUGUUCAAAAUGAACCAUGAAACUCAACAAGUCCCCAUGAGUCAGGUAAAACAAUGGAAGCUUGUCAACAGCUGCAGCAGCUGUAGCAGCUGAGACGUCUCACUUUCCAUUUUCUUAAAAUGUUGUUUGAUGUAUUGCUGGCACUGUUAGUUGUUGUGCAAUUUUAGCCUUGUAUGUUAACGUUGAUUCAUACAACGGUUUGAUGUCACUCCUUUUUAAUGUCUAUUGAAACAGUUUUAAGAUCUUUGUAUUUAAUUUAUUUUUAAUGAAAUUUUUUCAUCCAUUCAUUAAGACAUGUCCAAUGAAAGAAUUUUGUAAUUUCUUGGACAUGUUUAACCUUUAAAACAUUUUUUGAUGUUUUUAGAUAUUUAGUCAUAUACUUUUACUCAAUAAACUUAAUUAAGUCAGAGUUUUUGAACAGCAUUUAGAAGGUGAGAAGUCAGUUCCUUAUUCUCCAUUUUAUGAAUGAAGUCAAUCAUGUUGUUCUGUUUUUGUCAUGUCUUCCAAAAUAGGGGCUUUGGGUAGCCUAGUGGUUAAAGCGUUGGCCUUGUCACGCCAAAG